rnacentral:tRNA from 1 species
GGGCCGGUAGCGUAGAGGCUUAACGCGUCGCCCUGUCACGGCGAAGAUCAUCCCGAUGGAAUCGGGAUCCGGCCA